GUCUUACAAACUCCCGUGACGUGAGCCUGGGCUGUGUUACAUCACUAGGAACACCUGUAGCGGCCACGUGAGAGACUUGGGCUGGUUCCAUGAGAUGGAAAUUUCCUUUCAUUGCAGACAGCGGUGAUGGCAGUGAGCAGCAUCAGCUCCUUUUUGUGAGCAGCUCCCACGCCGGCUUCAUGCAGGAGUUAGCUGAGGACAUUCCCUUGAAUGGACGGCAUCUGGGCUGUGCCUGUACCCUCACGGGGAAGGAAUUCGGGGUGGAGCCUGGAGAAACAAUCCCAGCUUCGUAGUGGUGAUUAAAACGGCCGUUAGAUUACAGCACCGGAUCAGGAUGGAUUUAGGCCAACUCAGCAAGGAACUGUGGAGAGGCUCAGAGGCUGCAGAUGCCGAUAUAGCACAACCAUCCGCUUCCUCCCCCAUCCCCACUAUAGUCUAACGUUGAUUUCUA
rnacentral:lncRNA from 1 species